rnacentral:sRNA from 1 species
AAUACACUUAUUCAUAAAUAGGCAUUCUUACUAUGUGCUGCUUACUAUACCAAUGCUUUUGCUUUACUUCUUUUCCAUUAAAAAACAGACACACACACACACACACACUCACACUCACACUCUCACACUCUCUCUGUCUCUCUCUCCCCGCAUUGAUCUUGACCUACUAAAUUGACCUCCCAGCAGAACACUAUAUUAAUAUGUUUGAAGAAUUCCCAGUUAAAAAAACAAUCUGUUUAACUCUUUUUUUUGACAGUUAAACAUACUUCGUGCACAGGAAAACUUUUUUCCCUUUGGCAUAGCUUAUUAUUCCUUUAGAACAGUUUACCUGUAACCUGACUGGGUAAGAGGUGAAGAGAAUUUUAGCAGCAGGUUUUUGAGAGACUCAAGUUCCUAUUGGUAGCGUGAGCUAUAAGUAUAAAAGUGAUUCAUAUGUUCUCCACAGCUGAAGGCCUGCUGACCCAGGGUGAUAAGAUCACUGCUGAUGGACUUCAGGAGGUGUUUGAGACCAAUGUCUUUGGCCAUUUUAUCCUGAUUCGGGAACUGGAGCCUCUCCUCUGUCACAGUGACAAUCCAUCUCAGCUCAUCUGGACAUCGUCUCGCAAUGCAAGGAAAUCUAAUUUCAGCCUCGAGGACUUCCAGCACAGCAAAGGCAAGGAACCCUACAGCUCUUCCAAAUAUGCCACUGACCUUUUGAGUGUGGCUUUGAACAGGAACUUCAACCAGCAG